rnacentral:rRNA from 1 species
GAUGAACGCUAGCGAUAGGCUUAACACAUGCAAGUCGAGGGGCAGCAUGGCCUUAGCUUGCUAAGACUGAUGGCGACCGGCGCACGGGUGCGUAACGCGUAUGCAACUUGCCUCACAGAGGGGGAUAACCCGUCGAAAGACGGACUAAUACCGCGUACACUCUAUUUUGGGCAUCCAAGGUAGAGGAAAUGAAAUUCGCUGUGAGAUAGGCAUGCGUCCCAUUAGCUAGUUGGUGAGGUAACGGCUCACCAAGGCGACGAUGGGUAGGGGAACUGAGAGGUUGAACCCCCACACUGGUACUGAGACACGGACCAGACUCCUACGGGAGGCAGCAGUGAGGAAUAUUGGUCAAUGGGCGAGAGCCUGAGCCAGCCAAGUCGCGUGAAGGAUGACUGUCUUAUGGAUUGUAAACUUCUUUUGUAGGGGAAUAAAGAGGGGCACGUGUGCCCCAGUGAAUGUACCCUACGAAUAAGCAUCGGCUAACUCCGUG